GGUUGAACAUGCUGAACCUCUUAAAAAAUUCAGAACAAGUUUUCUCAGAGUUUACAAAGGGAUUUCAAUCACAUGAAGAGAGGAAAACACACUGAGUCGUAACAGUGACAUCAAAAUACUUUUGAAGUUGACUGAAAAUGUGGUUGCUUUUGUUUGAGAAUGGCAAAUUAAAGAAUUGGAUAUUGGGUUCUUAUCUCAGAAGAAACAAAGGAGGAGACCCUGAAAAACUGAACAUGAAGAGGAAGAAGUGGAGUUAUGCAACUCUUCAUAAGGCUGGUUCCACCACCGGUCAGAAGAAUGAAAAUUGCAGAUACCUAUUCUGUGUGUUUCUCUCCAGAAUGGUGGAUGUUAGAGACCCUACUAAGGAUUUGUGGACUCACUAACGUAGUCUCUAAAAGGGCUGGUUCCUUGUAAGAAGAGGAAUGAACAUCAGAGCUC
rnacentral:lncRNA from 10 species